rnacentral:rRNA from 1 species
UACGAAGGGGGCUAGCGUUGCUCGGAAUCACUGGGCGUAAAGGGUGCGUAGGCGGGUCUUUAAGUCAGGGGUGAAAGUCCUGGAGCUCAACUCCAGAACUGCCUUUGAUACUGAGGAUCUUGAGUUCGGGAGAGGUGAGUGGAACUGCGAGUGUAGAGGUGAAAUUCGUAGAUAUUCGCAAGAACACCAGUGGCGAAGGCGGCUCACUGGCCCGAU